AUUGAACGCUGGCGGCAUGCUUUACACAUGCAAGUCGAACGGCAGCACAGGGAGCUUGCUCCCGGGUGGCGAGUGGCGCACGGGUGAGUAAUACAUCGGAACGUGUCCUGUUGUGGGGGAUAACUGCUCGAAAGGGUGGCUAAUACCGCAUGAGACCUGAGGGUGAAAGCGGGGGAUCGCAAGACCUCGCGCAAUUGGAGCGGCCGAUGCCCGAUUAGCUAGUUGGUGAGGUAACGGCCCACCAAGGCGACGAUCGGUAGCCGGACUGAGAGGUUGAACGGCCACAUUGGGACUGAGACACGGCCCAGACUCCUACGGGAGGCAGCAGUGGGGAAUAUUGCACAAUGGGGGAAACCCUGAUGGCAGCGACGCCGCGUGGAGGAAGAAGGUCUUCGGGAUUGUAAACUCCUGUUGUUGAGGAAGAUAAUGACGGUACUCGAACAAGGAAGUGAACGGCUAACUACGUGCCAGCAGCCGCGGU
rnacentral:rRNA from 1 species